GAAUUGGUUAAGCGAGGUCAUCGAAGGGCACCUCGUCAUUGGCAGGCGACAAUUGUGACAGGAUCAAAAGGUAAUUAGUUGAUCAGUACUCUGCCAAAGGAGAGUUGCCCUUUGACUGCUUCAGCUUACAGUCUCGC
rnacentral:pre_miRNA from 1 species